AAAUUGAAGAGUUUGAUCAUGGCUCAGAUUGAACGCUGGCGGCAGGCCUAACACAUGCAAGUCGAACGGUAACAGGAAGCAGCUUGCUGCUUCGCUGACGAGUGGCGGACGGGUGAGUAAUGUCUGGGAAACUGCCUGAUGGAGGGGGAUAACUACUGGAAACGGUGGCUAAUACCGCAUAACGUCGCAAGACCAAAGAGGGGGACCUUCGGGCCUCUUGCCAUCAGAUGUGCCCAGAUGGGAUUAGCUUGUUGGUGAGGUAACGGCUCACCAAGGCGACGAUCCCUAGCUGGUCUGAGAGGAUGACCAGCCACACUGGAACUGAGACACGGUCCAGACUCCUACGGGAGGCAGCAGUGGGGAAUAUUGCACAAUGGGCGCAAGCCUGAUGCAGCCAUGCCGCGUGUAUGAAGAAGGCCUUCGGGUUGUAAAGUACUUUCAGCGGGGAGGAAGGUGUUGUGGUUAAUAACCGCAGCAAUUGACGUUACCCGCAGAAGAAGCACCGGCUAACUCCGUGCCAGCAGCCGCGGUAAUACGGAGGGUGCAAGCGUUAAUCGGAAUUACUGGGCGUAAAGCGCACGCAGGCGGUCUGUCAAGUCGGAUGUGAAAUCCCCGGGCUCAACCUGGGAACUGCAUUCGAAACUGGCAGGCUUGAGUCUUGUAGAGGGGGGUAGAAUUCCAGGUGUAGCGGUGAAA
rnacentral:rRNA from 1 species